AAUGAGCUUGUCUUUUACAUAUUCAAUGAUAAGAGAUUUCAUGCUUGGCAUAUAGCUAUGGAUAAUGUGUGCAUUAUGAAAAGGGACAAUAUCCAUGUAAUCGGCUCAAGUACUUUUCUCUUUUUGCACCUUGUGUAAAUUUGGAUAUAUUAAUUGCUACUACAUGUUCUCAUCAUAAGUACUUACUAAGGGUUAAACCCUUUUAAUGCCCGGCCCCUCUGAUUAUCCGCUCCUUCAUGAGUCUAUGUAGUAUAUGAAUGCUAACUGUUUGGUUUUUUUUUUGUUAUGGAAG